rnacentral:rRNA from 1 species
CACCGCCCGUCACGCUAUGGAAGCCGAUAACACCUGAAGUCGCUGAGCUAACCGCAAGGAGGCAGGCGCCGAGGGUGGGAUUGGUAACUGGAGCGAAGUCGUAACAAGGUACCC